ensembl:lncRNA
CUUAGGAUGUCGGGCACCCUCCUUUAGCAAGAGCACUUUCUGUGCAGUGGCACAGAAGCCAGGCUGCAGUCGAUUGAGAAAGAAUCUGAUGUGGAGGCCGUGUGGGGCAGCCUGCCUGGAUCCGGCCCCAUCAGGGAGCAUGAGGGAAUGCUACCAUGCUUUGGGUCCAUCGACUAGGACACUGGGCUUCCAGAGACUUCUUCUCAUGAACCUCCACUCUGUCUGAUAGGUUGCGUGUGGUCAGGACCAUAGGCUGUUCCUGAGGGAUAGAGGAGAAGUCUGUUCUAGUGGAUGGGGCACAGAUGGACAAACAGAUAGUGCCCUCACACCCCCUUGGGAGGGGCCGUAUGCAGCUGUGAGCUGCAGGGCUCUCAGGGGCUGGAACCACCUGCCUUCCUUUCACUCUUCCCCCUCCCAUCACUUCCUGGGGACACAGUUCUCUUUGUGCGGUCCAUUUCCCCUCAGCCCCAGCUCCCAUGGACAGGAACUGCCAGAGGGUUGGACGGGGGAUUAGAGCCUCCCCUCCACAAAGGAGUUCUGAGCCUUUCUCUUCAGAGACACAGGAAACUGCCUGACGCUUUCAAAGAAGACACAGGGGCCACCUAAAGGGAGCUCAACUGUAGAUGAUUUGAGAAGAAUGUGAUCAAUGAAGGGAAGGGAAUAAUGAGGGACAAGCUUUCUCAACCUUGUAUGCUGAAUCUUUUUGUCUCUGCUAUUUGUCUGAGGGAGGGCCAUUAAAUUUAAGAUUAAAUCUCAUGUAAGUCCUCAAUAAUCCCACCACCGCAUGAAGCCAUCUUUGCCUCAUUGUCUCCUGUUUUCCCCCAGUCCUUCUUCCUAUGUGUCCAUCAUUUACACUGUAGUCUUAACCUAGAUGUGGCUUUCUAUGCUUGUUUUCUCAUUUCAAAUUACAGAAACCGUUUUUCCAUGUUGGUAGAAUGUUUUUUCUUUGCUGAGGAGAUUUGCCCUGAACCAACAUCUGUGCCAGUCUUCCUCUGUUUUGUAUGUGGGUCACCACCACAGCACGGCCAUUGGCAAGUGGUGUAGGUCUGCAGCGGGGAACCAAAUGCAGACCCCUGAUGUGGAGCACGCCCAACUUACCACAAGGCCAUGGGACCACCCCCAUGUUGGCACACUUUUCACAGUUACAGUGUUUAAUGUUUGCAUGAUAUAGCAUCUUCUAAUCAUUUUAUCCAUGACUUACUUUUAGGUAUAGAAUACAUUAUUAUUAACUAUAGUCAUCUUUUUGUAUAUUAGAUCUCAAUAGCUUAUUUAUCUCCUAACUGAGAGUUUGCACCUUUUCACCAACAUCUCCUCGUUCCCCUCUCACACCCCCGCUCCCUGGGAGCCACCAUUCUACUGUCUGUUUCUAUGAAUUUGAGUUUUUCAGAUUCCACAUAUAAGUAAGACGAUGCAGUAAUUCCCUUUCUGUGUCUGGCUUAUUUAACUUAGCAUAAUGUCCUCCAGGUACAUCCAUGUUGUCAGGAAAGGCAGGAUUUCUUUCUUUUUGAAAGCUGAAUAAUAUAAUAAUAUACAGUUGUGUAGAUGCACCACAUUUUUUU